ACAAUAAAUUUCUGUUGUUUAAGCCACCCAGUUUGUGAUACUUUUUUAUGGCAGCCCUAGUAAACUGAUAUACCAACCCUCUGGUAAAAACCCUAUUUCACUUUAAGGCUCAGACCAUUCAACCCAAUUCAUCCUUCAGAUCUCAGUUUAAUGAUUAUUUCCUCCAGGAUACUUCUGUGAUCAAAGUCUUUAAUAUAAGCUCUCUCAGAAUAAUUUUCCUUCUUUUUGGAGCAUAUAUGCCUGUAUGGCCAUAUCCCCGGAGUAGAUGCUCAGUAAAUAUUUGUUGAAUGAAUUAGAGCAUUCUGUUGUUCUAGAAGUUAAUUCUUUUUUGAAAUACAAAUGACCUUUGGCAAAUGUAAUCCACCAAGCCUUAUCAGUCAUCCAAUAUUUAAUAUGUACGUGAAGCUUAGGCCUAAGAGGGCUCUGAGUUUUGUGUUAUCAGAUAAUUGCUUCCUAAAUGACACUUGACUUCUUUUUGAGUCCUAUUUCUUGCUUUUGUCUACUUUGACCAACAUUUUAUUGACUGUGUGAGGGAGACUUAUUUAUUUGAAUUUUUCAUUGACAGUCCUGUGGUCUCCAGAAUCUUCUUCAUAGUCUUUUAGCAGCAGUUGCCUCAGAUACUUUUGGGGUAGUUUCUUGGCAGUGUUUGCCACGUUUUAAUUAGUAGCCAUUACAUGACAUCUUGGCCAUAUUCCUAUGUUUGACUAUGUUUAUUUUCUAAUGAAAAUUUUAGAACAUUAAGAGGUUGAUGGCUUCCCAUUAUUUUUAGCCCAGGUAGAGGUAACUUGCUCUUUCUCAAAUGGUAGCCACAGAUAGCUAGUGCUAUCUUGAAGUUAGCCAAGGAUGCACCAUUAUGCUGCUUGGGGCAGACAGCGCUUUGUGGAUAAAUGCGGAAACAUGGGAGUGACAACCUAUGAGGUACUUCUUGGAUUUUUUUUUAUAGGUGUAUCUUCCCAGUUGGAGUUGGAAUGGCAGAUAUUGUGCAGGGAUUUCAGACAUGAUGGUGGAUUAAGAUACUAGACAAAGCCAGAGAAGAAAAUAUCAGAAUUCAGCUGCAAAACUGUCCCGAUGCAUGGCUGUAUAUCCUAGGUCUUCCGUGUGAGCUGCUGACAGAUGGGUUGUGUGGUUCCACGACCGGGAAACGACACCAAGCUGCCGAAGUGCCCCGCGGUACAUAGUUGUGCAUUUUAGGUUGUGGCUCCC